rnacentral:lncRNA from 1 species
GCUGUCAUGUGAUUCCUCUUCCACUUUCACAGGUUGAUCCCCGCACUGGAUUUUUUCAUCUGGUGUAGGUUCGAUCACCCUCGUCGGUCCAUCUUCUAGUAGGGCCUCUAAAUAAUCUAGAUCACCUAUAGUACCAAGCUCUAAUACUUCUUCAUACUCUGGUAAACCCUCUAACUCUCCAGCAAGCUCUCCCUCCCAAAACAACACAUCCUCACUCUCAUCAUCUUCCACCUCUACACCAAACAACAUGGGACUUAAGGCAACAAGGAACGCAAGAUCGAGUAAAUCAUCCAAGUAGGUUCACUGCGAGCUUGGAAUGAACACACCGCUCUCAAGCGCUUCCGAUAUGACUAAAGGCCAAACGUGUCAAAACUUUUGUAGUAAACUUUUACGGUCAAAGUCUAGUUUGUGUUAAAUGCUUUUUUUAAACUCUUGUUUUGUAUGCAAGUUAUGGUAGUUUGUUAGUACAACUAUGUAUUUUUAACUUGGGAAUGUUAAACUUGGUUUCUUUAGAAAUUUUGUAAGUAGCGUUUGAAAAGUGCUAAAAAUUUAC